CCUACGGGAGGCAGCAGUGGGGAAUAUUGCACAAUGGAGGCAACUCUGAUGCAGCGAUGCCGCGUGCGUGAAGAAGGAUCUCGGUAUGUAAAGCUCUAUCAGCAGGGAAGAAAAUGACGGUACCUGUUUAAGAAGCCCCGGCUAACUACGUGCCAGCAGCCGCGGUAAUACGUAGGGGGCAAGCGUUAUCCGGAUUUACUGGGUGUAAAGGGGGUGUAGACGGCAGCACAAGUCUGUAGUGAAAUGCCGGGGCUUAACCCCGGAACUGCUUUGGAAACUGUGCAGCUAGAGUGCAGGAGAGGUAAGCGGAAUUCCUAGUGUAGCGGUGAAAUGCGUAGAUAUUAGGAGGAACACCAGUGGCGAAGGCGGCUUACUGGACGGUAACUGACGGUGAGGCUCGAAAGCGUGGGGAGCAAACAGGAUUAGAUACUCCAGUAGUC
rnacentral:rRNA from 1 species